rnacentral:lncRNA from 1 species
UCUCACACUUCUAUCCCUUUCGAAAAUCCCAAUCUUUCGAAGAACCCACAAAUCCUGUGGAAAUCUCAGAACCCAUUUUUCCUUCUUUGAUUCUUCCUUGGAAGAAUCUCUGACCCCCUUCGAAAAAUUUCAUGAAGCCUUCGAGAAAUCCUUACUCUUUCGAAAUUUCAGAGCUCACAUCUUGUUCAAUCAAUAUCUGAACGCAAAGACAUGGUUUGUUGCGAUUGAGGAAGGUACAUGAAGAUAUAUUGUUUUCCUGUAAUUUUUAGGAGAUUCAAGAGGCUCAUGCUGGAGAAAUAGUUGUUGUACAUGUUGCUUUCUACAAAGCAUCAGGAACAGGUACUCAGCAAUAAAGGCCUCCAUGCGCAAAAAUGACGAAAUUCGGCAAGAAAACAAAGAAAGGAAGAAGUCCUAAAGAAUUCAGUUCAGGUGACGACCGUCACAUCCUGUGACGGAUUGACCGUCUCCUUUCAGCUCGACCUGGCCGUUACCAGCACCCCAGACCGUCACCACCCCGUGUCGAGCAGACUGUCACACCCUGUGACGCACGUCACGGGUUCGGAAGAAUCAGUCUCCCCCACUCCCAGGAACGGUUUCCAGUUUUCUCUCCCACUUCCUCCACCUGCAGAAGCAUGACCAGAACACAUUUUUUAGGAAGCUUGGCCUAUAAAUAGGUGCAGAGAAGAAAGGAAAAAGGAGAGAAGUUUUUUUAGGCAAGCAUUAGAAAUUCAUAGCAUAUUGUAAUCCUAAGUUUCAAGUUUCCUUUUCAUUCUCUGUUACAAAUCGUACAAUCUUAUU